rnacentral:rRNA from 1 species
AGUGAACGCUGGCGGUAUGCCUAACACAUGCAAGUCGAACGGCAGCACAGUAAGAGCUUGCUCUUACGGGUUGCGAGUGGCGGACGGGUGAGGAAUACAUCGGAAUCUACUUUUUCGUGGGGGAUAACGUAGGGAAACUUACUCUAAUACCGCAUACGACCUACGGGUGAAAGCAGUGGAUCUUCUGACCUUGCGCGAUUGAAUGAGCCGAUGUCGGAUUAGCUAGUUGGCGGGGUAAAGGCCCACCAAGGCGACGAUCCGUAGCUGGACUGAGAGGAUGAUAAGCCACACUGGAACUGAGACACGGUCCAGACGACUACGGGAGGCAGCAGUGGGGAAUAUUGGACAAUGGGCGCAAGCCUGAUCCAGCGAUACCGCGUGGGUGAAGAAGGCCUUCGGGUUGUAAAGCCCUUUUGUUGGGAAAGAAAAGCAGCAGGUUAAUACCCCGCUGUUCUGACGGUACCCAAAGAAUAAGCACCGGCUAACUUCGUG